rnacentral:rRNA from 1 species
CAAGGCUUGACAUCGCCCGGAAAGCUCUGGAGACAGAGCCCUCCUUUGGACUGGGUGACAGGUGGUGCAUGGCUGUCGUCAGCUCGUGUCGUGAGAUGUUGGGUUAAGUCCCGCAACGAGCGCAACCCUUGUUCCAUGUUGCCAGCACGCCCUUCGGGGUGGUGGGGACUCAUGGGAGACUGCCGGGGUCAACUCGGAGGAAGGUGGGGAUGACGUCAAGUCAUCAUGCCCCUUAUGUCUUGGGCUGCAAACAUGCUACAAUGGCCGGUACAGAGGGUUGCGAUACCGUGAGGUGGAGCGAAUCCCUAAAAGCCGGUCUCAGUUCGGAUUGGGGUCUGCAACUCGACCCCAUGAAGUCGGAGUCGCUAGUAAUCGCAGAUCAGCAACGCUGCGGUGAAUA